ACUCCCAGCUCCCCUCGCCCCACAGCUCCCCUUCCCCCGACACCCCCUUGCGUACCCACCCCCCUCAUCCUCCCACCCCCUCCAUAAUUUUUAAAUCUCACACCUGAACCCCUAAGUCACCGAUUGACAUCGCUCAUCCUUUCCUGUCUCCUCAACGACACCCCUGUUACUUCUCUUCACAAUGUUGACGCCUCUUCUCUUCUUCUCGUGUGUUGCAUCAACUUCCAUGGCUUCUCCUCUUCUUCUCAUGUGUUUCUUCUUCGAUCUAUGUGAUUUCUGAUUUAUUGAUUUGAACAGAUUUUAGAUCCUUGGUUUUUGAACAACGAGCAACUAAAAAAUCAAUGGGGCUUUCAAGAUCUGAAUCGUUACUGAUAGGGAUAUCUAAGAAAGAAGGUCAGAGGAUGAAACUCGAAUGGGUGAUUGUGAGAUCUGUAAUUAUAAUUUUUGAAUCGGUGAGAAGAAGCGAGAUUCAGAACUCAUGAUGCGCGAUGGAGUAUUGGGGAUCCAGAUGGAAAAACCAAGAGCUCUCAAUUUGAAUUUUAAGGGACUCAUUCAAUGCAAAGGUUGGCGAUUUUGCAAUCCUGGACCACAUUGGGGUUGAUAAUGGAAGAUUUGGAGGGGGUAUUGAAAUCGAGAUCCUCGACCAGAUUUGGAACAAGAAAAUCUAAACACCACGUCCUAUGAAGACCAAGCCUAGAUUGCCAAUCAGGUUACAUAAGCAUUGAUUGUGGGGCAGAGGAGGUCUGCCAUAGAGACUCCCAUGUAGAGGAGACUAAUGAAGGGAAGGAAUUGAAGGAGGCAUGCAUUCAAGGUUUUUGACAAAGAUCAAAAUGGCCAUAUAUCAAGUGAUCAAGUAAUAAAGCUGUGGAAGGUGUUGGUAGUAAGAAGUCACUUGCCUGAGAAACUUUGAUUGCGAGGAGCAAAGUGGAUGAUGUGUUGGCCGUGGCAGGUGGCUCCUUUUUACAAAAAUGCCUUAGUGCAGAAAACAUGUGCUUCCUCUCCUUCAUCAUCCAAGCAUUGAAUGAUUCUAUAAGGAUCUUUGUGUGUCCUAAAUGCAUGAACUUGGUGGCACACUUUGCAAGGGAGAAGGAGUUUUUGUUGUUACCAAAUUGGGAGGACUCAAUAAAUUUCCCUCUGCAGGUCCAACAACUCCAGUAUGCUGUAUUAACAAGUGUUGAAGGGAAAUUAACAACUCAAUCUCUCCUAUCGAUCAAAUCACUUUGUCUACAUAAUAACAAAGAAUAGCAGCCAAGAUCAAGACCUCUUGAGUUGCGACUGAGGAGGAGAGAUAAAGAGCAACACAAUGACUGAGGAAGACACUGAAACAGUGACUGAGGAGGCGGAGUUAGAGAGCGACAAUGGCUUGGAGAGACAAAGCAACAGAGGAGAAUAUUACCUCGCUCGAGCUCGACAGAGAAGGAGGGAAGGACGGCGAUCGACGAUAGUGGAGGGUCGCUGGGUCAGAGCAGAGUGACACGAAUCAGGUGAAGGACUUGGGAAUGAAAGGGAUCGGUCAGUGUUUGUGAAGUAGGGCAUCCAGGGAAAAAAGGCCCGAAACUAGUUGCGUUUCAUAUCCUACCCGCAUCGACCCGUGUCCUUCGACAGUCGCCCGUGUCCGCCCGUUCGCAAAAAAAAGAAGGGACAUGUUGCAUCUGCGUACAGGACAAGUAUUCGUGUUGGAUACAUAUUCGACAAGGACAUGGCGCUGAUUUUGGCAUGUCCGUGCUUCAGAGCUUGUAAGCCUUUUAGUAGUUUCUGGAAGUGAUUUUGAAAUAAAUAAAAGAUUAUGAGAUGUUUAGGAUUUACAAAUUCAUUUGGUAGGCUUGAAUUGAAAUUUCAAAAGAAUGAUUGGGAAUUUGAGUGAGAUUCUAAAGAUGAGUAUAUUGGGUAUUGAGCCUUAAAUUAAGAAUAGGAGAUUUUGAUGAAAUGGUACCAUUGGAUGGUAAAUUGGAGUUCUGAUGGAUUAGUUGAGCUUCAGAUAAAUUGAAAUUAGAUUGGAAAAAAAAUUGACAUUGACGUGAAUUUUGAGGAUUGAAAUUAGAGUUAAUUUAAUUUAAUCCUUUUAACUUUGUUUUAAUUAAUUGUGAUAUGAAUUAGGUAUAUUUGCAAUUGUAAGAGGUAUUUGGCUCUUGAGAGCAUUCAAUGGUUGGUAUUGUUUAGCUAAGGUAAGAGGUAACAUUAUAUUAUUCUUUCUUAUACUGAAAUAUUUGUUGUUUUAUUAUUGUAUAAAUAUAUACACCCAUGUGGAAAUGUUUGUGCACAUUGAGCACUUGUUGAUUUUUUUAUUAUGAGGUCAUGUUCGAAAC